UAAUUACAUACAUGUCCUUAAAAACAUAACAACAAAGUUCAACAUUCUUAUUUUAUUCUUGCAAAAGUUCUAAUAUUUUUUCAAAAAUAUCUCCGCCAUUAGGAUCCGUUAGAAAAUUUUAGUUAAUUAAAGGUAAAAUACUUAACCCUUGUUAAUUAAUAAAGUAAAUUGACAUUUUUACCCCCCUUAUAUUAUAUUUUCUUUCUCAAUCAAAGCCCUAGCAAUGAGAACUCUUGUUUUUCUUUCUCUUCCUCUUUCUCUCUCUCCUUCAUGCUAGUUUCUAACCCAUAACUAGAAUUUCUCCAUCCCCCACGGCACAUGUUACUUUCCGCAUAUCGAACGCGUGUUGUUUUUUCAUUCAAUUUUUUCUAUAAACUUUUCUUUUAUUUUGUUCAGAAAAAAGGUCUAGGGGAAAGGAGUGAGAGAAAAUGUUGCAAUAAUAGUCGAUUGGAUAGAAUUUUAAAGAGGAAGAAGAUGAGGAAAAAGAUGACCAUUGAAAAUUUUUUGGAAUGACAUUUUUAUAUGAAUUGACAUUUCACUUAGCUGCUGUUAAAAAAUAAACAUUUUUUUAACGACAACAAACUAGAUGGAUAAAUAUGAAUAUUACCAAACUUUUGUAGGGAUAAAAGUUAAAAGUUGAACUUUAUGUGAAUAUAUUUGUAAUUCGCUAUAUUUACAGGACGCUGUAGCAAUUAACCUGAAAAAAAUUUAGC
rnacentral:lncRNA from 1 species